rnacentral:rRNA from 1 species
AGAGUUUGAUGGUGGCUCAGAACGAACGCUGGCGGCGUACUUAACACAUGCAAGUCGAACGAGAAAAGAAGCUUCGGCUUCCGAGUACAGUGGCGAACGGGUGCGUAACACGUAAGCAAUCUACCUCAGACGUUGGGAUAACUUCUCGAAAGGGGAGCUAAUACCAAAUAGUUCCCUGUGGCACAAGUCAUGGGGGGAAAGCGGGCCUCUAAACUAUGCUCGCAGUCUGAGAUGAGCUUGCGGUCCAUUAGCUUGUUGGUAGGGUAACGGCCUACCAAGGCUACGAUGGAUAGCUGGUCUGAGAGGAUGAUCAGCCACACUGGCACUGAGACACGGGCCAGACUCCUACGGGAGGCAGCAGUGGGGAAUUUUGCGCAAUGGGCGAAAGCCUGACGCAGUAACGCCGCGUGGAGGAUGAAGGCCUUUGGGUUGUAAACUCCUGCCAGGGGGGAAGAUAGGGCUAUUGCAAAUAGUUUUAGCCCUAUGACGGUACCCCCAAAGGAAGCCCCGGCUAAUUCCGUGCCAGCAGCCGCGGUAAUACGGAAGGGGCAAGCGUUGUUCGGAAUCAUUGGGCGUAAAGGGCGCGUAGGCGGUCUCAUAUGUCCGCUGUGAAAGCACACGGCUCAACCGUGUUGGGUCGGCGGAAACUGUGAGACUUGAGGCUGGGAGGGGUCGGUGGAAUUCUUCAUGUAGCGGUGAAAUGCGUAGAUAUGAGGGAGAACACUCGUGGCGAAGGCGGCCGGCUGGACCAGUUCUGACGCUGAGGCGCGAAAGCGUGGGUAGCAAACAGGAUUAGAUACCCUGGUAGUCCACGCUGUAAACGAUGGGCACUAGGUGUCGGCGGUAUUAAUCCCGUCGGUGCUGGCGCUAACGCAGUAAGUGCCCCCG